rnacentral:rRNA from 1 species
GAUGAACGCUGGCGGCGUGCUUAACACAUGCAAGUCGAGCGAGAAAAGUUCUUCGGAGCUUUUCUAGCGGCGGACGGGUGAGUAACACGUGGGCAACCUGCCUCAUAGAGGGGAAUAGCCUUCCGAAAGGAAGAUUAGUACCGCAUAACAUUGUUGAAAGGCAUCUUUUAACAAUCAAAGGAAUAAUCCGCUAUGAGAUGGGCCCGCGGCGCAUUAGCUAGUUGGUGAGGUAACGGCUCACCAAGGCGACGAUGCGUAGCCGACCUGAGAGGGUGAUCGGCCACAUUGGAACUGAGACACGGUCCAGACUCCUACGGGAGGCAGCAGUGGGGAAUAUUGCACAAUGGGGGAAACCUUGAUGCAGCAACGCCGCGUGAGUGAUGAAGGUCUUCGGAUUGUAAAGCUCUGUCUUUAGGGACGAUAAUGACGGUACCUAAGGAGGAAGCCACGGCUAACUACGUGCCAGCCGCCGCCGUAAAAC